rnacentral:rRNA from 1 species
GAUGAACGCUAGCGGCAGGCCUAACACAUGCAGGUCGAGGGAGAAGCCCUUUCGGGGGCAGAAACCGGCGCACGGGUGCGUAACGCGUAUGCAACCUACCUUUCACAGGGGGAUAGCCCGAAGAAAUUUGGAUUAAUACCCCAUAAUAUUAUUGGAUGGCAUCAUUUGAUAAUUAAAACUGCGGUGGUGAAAGAUGGGCAUGCGUCCUAUUAGCUAGUUGGAGUGGUAACGGCACCCCAAGGCUACGAUAGGUAGGGGUCCUGAGAGGGAGAUCCCCCACACUGGUACUGAGACAGGGACCAGACUCCUACGGGAGGCAGCAGUGAGGAAUAUUGGUCAACGGUCGGAAGACUGAACCAGCCAUGCCGCGUGCAGGAAGAAUGCCUUAUGGGUUGUAAACUGCUUUUAUAUGGGAAGAAUAAGGUGUACGUGUACAUUGAUGACGGUACCAUAUGAAUAAGCAUCGGCUAACUCCGUG